rnacentral:rRNA from 1 species
GUCUACAGCCAUACUACCCUGAAUGUGCUCAAUCUCAUCUGGUCUUAGAAGCUAAGCAGGGUCAAGCCUGGUUAGUACUUGGAUGGGAGACACAGGAAGAUGGAGGAGGAAGCAGUGAAAU